rnacentral:rRNA from 1 species
UACGUAGGCGGAAAAUUAAGUCAGUAGUGAAAUCCCGCAGCUUAACUGUGGAACUGUUAUUGAUACUGGUUUUCUUGAAUAUAGUUGAGGUAGGCGGAAUGUGUAAUGUAGCGGUGAAAUGCUUAGAUAUUACACAGAACACCGAUUGCGAAGGCAGCUUACUAAGCUAUGAUUGACGCUGAGAUACGAAAGCGUGGGGAGCGAACAGGAUUAGAUACCCUGGUAGUCC